UACGGAGGGUGCAAGCGUUAUCCGGAUUCACUGGGUUUAAAGGGAGCGCAGGCGGAUUGGUAAGUCAGUGGUGAAAGGCUUAAGCUUAACUUGGGAACUGCCAUUGAUACUAUCAGUCUUGAAUGUUGUUGAGGUUUGCGGAAUGGGUCAUGGUAGCGGUGAAAUGACAUAGAUAUGACCCGGAACACCUAUUGCGAAGGCAGCAGGCUAAACAAAUAUUGACGCUGAGGCUCGAAAGCGUGGGGAUCAAACAGG
rnacentral:rRNA from 1 species